rnacentral:rRNA from 1 species
GACGAACGCUGGCGGCGUGCCUAAUACAUGCAAGUCGAACGCAGUGGGGACGGGUGAGUAACACGUGGGUAACCUCCCAUCAGAGGGGAUAACACUUGGAAACAGGUGCUAAACCGAUAAGGAUUGAUGGCCCCGUGGUGCAUUAGCUAGUUGGGGAGGUAACGGCUCACCAAGGCCACGAUGCAUCGCCGAUCCGAGCGGGUGAUCGGCCACACUGGGACUGAGACUAGGCCCAUACUCCUACGGGAGUCAGCAGGAGGUAAUCUUCGGCAAUGGACGAAAGUCUGACCGAGCAACGCCGCGUGAGUGAAGAAGGUUUUCGGAUCGUAAAACUCUGUUGUUAGAGAAGCGGUAUCUAACCAGAAAGCCACGGCUAACUACGUGCCAGCAGCCGCGGUAAUAC